UACGAAGGGGGCUAGCGUUGUUCGGAAUUACUGGGCGUAAAGCGCGCGCAGGCGGUCCUUCAAGUCAGAGGUGAAAGCCCAGAGCUCAACUCUGGAAUGGCCUUUGAGACUAGAGGACUUGGGUACGGGAGAGGUGAGUGGAAUUCCGAGUGUAGAGGUGAAAUUCGUAGAUAUCGGGAGGAACACCAGUGGCGAAGGCGGCGACCUGGGCCAAUAUUGACGCUGAGGUGCGAAAGCGUGGGGAGCAAACAGG
rnacentral:rRNA from 1 species